CCUACGGGUGGCAGCAGUGAGGAAUAUUGGUCAAUGAGCGGGAGCCUGAACCAGCCAAGUCGCGUGCGGGAUGACGGUCCUAUGGGUUGUAAACCUCUUUUGCCGGGGAGCACAGUGCCGCACGGGUACGGUUUGGAGCGUACCCGGAGAAAUAGCAUAGGCUAACUCCGUGCCAGCCGCCGCGGUAAUACGGAGGAUGCGAGCGUUAUCCGGAUUUAUUGGGUUAAAAGGGUGCGUAGGCGGACGUUUAAGUCAGCGGUAAAAUUUCGGGGCUCAACCUCGUCGAGCCGUUGAAACGAGGAGCCUUGAGUUGGCGAGAGGUACGCGGAAUGCGUGGUGUAGCGGUGAAAUGCAUAGAUAUCACGCAGAACUCCGAAUGCGAAGGCAGCGUACCGGCGCCCAACUGACGCUGAAGCACGAAGGCGUGGGUAUCGAACAGGAUUAGAUACCCUAGUAGUC
rnacentral:rRNA from 1 species